rnacentral:rRNA from 1 species
AUUGAACGCUGGCGGCAUGCUUUACACAUGCAAGUCGGACGGCAGCACAGAGGAGCUUGCUUCUUGGGUGGCGAGUGGCGAACGGGUGAGUAACGCAUCGGAACGUACCGAGUAAUGGGGGAUAACUGUCCGAAAGGACAGCUAAUACCGCAUACGCCCUGAGGGGGAAAGCGGGGGAUCUUAGGACCUCGCGUUAUUCGAGCGGCCGAUGUCUGAUUAGCUGGUUGGCGGGGUAAAGGCCCACCAAGGCGACGAUCAGUAGCGGGUCUGAGAGGAUGAUCCGCCACACUGGGACUGAGACACGGCCCAGACUCCUACGGGAGGCAGCAGUGGGGAAUUUUGGACAAUGGGCGCAAGCCUGAUCCAGCCAUGCCGCGUGUCUGAAGAAGGCCUUCGGGUUGUAAAGGACUUUUGUCAGGGAAGAAAAGGGGCAUGUUAAUACCGUGCUCUGAUGACGGUACCUGAAGAAUAAGCACCGGCUAACUAC